rnacentral:rRNA from 1 species
GACGAACGCUGGCGGCGUGCCUAAUACAUGCAAGUAGAACGCUGAAGGAGGAGCUUGCUUCUCUGGAUGAGUUGCGAACGGGUGAGUAACGCGUAGGUAACCUGCCUGGUAGCGGGGGAUAACUAUUGGAAACGAUAGCUAAUACCGCAUAAGAGUAGAUGUCGCAUGACAUUUGCUUGAAAGGUGCAAUUGCAUCACUACCAGAUGGACCUGCGUUGUAUUAGCUAGUUGGUGAGGUAACGGCUCACCAAGGCAACGAUACAUAGCCGACCUGAGAGGGUGAUCGGCCACACUGGGACUGAGACACGGCCCAGACUCCUACGGGAGGCAGCAGUAGGGAAUCUUCGGCAAUGGACGGAAGUCUGACCGAGCAACGCCGCGUGAGUGAAGAAGGUUUUCGGAUCGUAAAGCUCUGUUGUAAGAGAAGAACGAGUGUGAGAGUGGAAAGUUCACACUGUGACGGUAUCUUACCAGAAAGGGACGGCUAACUACGUG